rnacentral:rRNA from 1 species
GUGGGGAAUCUUAGACAAUGGGCGCAAGCCUGAUCUAGCCAUGCCGCGUGAGUGAUGAAGGCCUUAGGGUCGUAAAGCUCUUUCGCUGGGGAAGAUAAUGACUGUACCCAGUAAAGAAACCCCGGCUAACUCCGUGCCAGCAGCCGCGGUAAUACGGAGGGGGUUAGCGUUGUUCGGAAUUACUGGGCGUAAAGCGCGCGUAGGCGGAUCAGAAAGUUGGGGGUGAAAUCCCGGGGCUCAACCUCGGAACUGCCUCCAAAACUCCUGGUCUUGAGUUCGAGAGAGGUGAGUGGAAUUCCGAGUGUAGAGGUGAAAUUCGUAGAUAUUCGGAGGAACACCAGUGGCGAAGGCGGCUCACUGGCUCGAUACUGACGCUGAGGUGCGAAAGUGUGGGGAGCAAACAGGAUUAGAAACCCGAGUAGUCC